rnacentral:rRNA from 1 species
GUCUAUGGCCAUGCCACCCUGAAUGUGCCUGAUCUCGGAAGCCAAGCAGGGUCGGGCCUGGUUAGUACUUGAUGGGAGACCACCUAGGAAUACCAGGUGCUGCAGGCG